rnacentral:rRNA from 1 species
AUAAACGCUGGCGGCGUGCUUAACACAUGCAAGUCGAACGAAGUUUUUCCUUCGGGAGAAACUUAGUGGCGGACGGGUGAGUAACGCGUGGGUAACCUGCCCUGUACAGGGGGACAACAGCUGGAAACGGCUGCUAAUACCGCAUAAGCACUUAGCACUGCAUGGUGCAUAGGGAAAAGGAGCAAUCCGGUACAGGAUGGACCCGCGUCUGAUUAGCCAGUUGGCAGGGUAACGGCCUACCAAAGCGACGAUCAGUAGCCGAUCUGAGAGGAUGUACGGCCACAUUGGGACUGAGACACGGCCCAGACUCCUACGGGAGGCAGCAGUGGGGAAUAUUGCACAAUGGAGGAAACUCUGAUGCAGCGACGCCGCGUGAGUGAAGAAGUAUUUCGGUAUGUAAAGCUCUAUCAGCAGGGAAGAAAAUGACGGUACCUGACUAAGAAGCACCGGCUAAAUACGUG